UACUAUAUUAAAGAUGAACAAGUUCCAUUUUUCUCAGAAUUUUGGGGCUACUUUCGAAUUGGUGGUCAGACGUAUCCUUUGGAUGAUUUGAUUUUCGUAGGGAUUCUCUUGUGUGCAGUUUGGGGGUGUGUAGUUUUUUGCUGAAUAUUUACUUACAUGUACUGCUAAUGCUAGGGUGUUUCCGUGGUGUGGCCGUAGCUGGUGUACCGAUUUUGUCAGCACUUCGAUUAUUGUGUCGUCGGUCGGUUCGUGGGACCUGGUUCCCACACCACUUGACCCCAUAUUUUCUCUCCCCCAUUCAUUCCUCUACUCGCGUCGAGAUCUCUCUGGAAACUCAUCUCUUUCUCUCAGUUUCUCCUCCCGAUCCCUCCAGUUGCCUCCCCCACCACAAUCUCAGCAGCACCGGCCGCUGCCAGAGAUUUUAUUAUUGCCUGCAGCGAAAGAGGAGGUGAUGAGCGGCGAUAUGGGGAGCAGCUGCCGGUGGAAAGAGACGAGGCUGUCGGUGGAUGGUGGCGGGAGGGGAUGCAGCGACCGACGACGUCGGCGAGGAUGAGGAUCGUCCACCAACACGGUCCGUGCUCCCCUCUCGGCAAUGUGCACGGGAAGCCGCUGUCCCGGAGAUCCUUGCCGUCGACCAGAACAGCAUCUCGAGGUCCUCGGGGCUAGAGGGUGAGCGGCUGGCGGCUGAGAGCGGGGGAGGCCGCGGCGGUGGGAAACCCUAGGCGGCGCGGUGCCUGAGCAUGCGAGGUUGUCAUCCAUGGCGUGUCUGCCCGUCCUCAUCCACCGGUCUGCCCCAUGCCUCUGCUCGAGCUUCCUGUCCCGGAGAAGCACCGGCCAAUGCUGAGACGGGCGAGGACCGAUCUCAGUUGGCCCGCCGCCAGCACUUCUAUUCUACCACAACUCUCCUCCGUAUUGAUCAUUAGCAUCGCUCAAAAUUACAAGCACCAUCAGCCGUCAACAUGAGUAACACAGCUGCCGAACAGCGGAAAGGAUGAGCAGCAGAUGCUGUCAGUUGUGUGGGGAGCAAUACUGUAUAUUUAGUCGAUCUGCAAUUAAUAGGUACGUCUUUUCCGUAUUUAUCUGAUAGAAGUGUAUGAUCCUUCUUUGGAUCCAUGCCUUCAUUGUGUCAGUCCGUUGUAUGAGGGUACUGGCCUGAGCUUUAUGGUGGUAAGUGAAGUCGGCAGGCUAAAAUUAGCAGAAUCAUCAUAGUUGUGUUUACUUCAUCUUUUCAUAGCUGUUAGUCUGCGGAUUUUGACGUGUGGGCUUCAAAUUAUUUCUCCAUAUUCAUGCACAAUUUGUCUGAAAUGAUACUCGAUCAUUCACCUGUACCUCUGAAUAAAUAUGUUUUUACAUAUUCAUCUGCAGAGCAUCAGAACUGGUAUCUAAUUGUUCACCUGCGACAUUGAAUUGAAGAUUUCAUUCUGUUUACAAACAAUAUGUUUAUGUGCUAGCUCAUAUUGUCAUGGGCAAGAAAUGUUUCUGUCAUAAAUUUGUGUCUUUUAGGGCUAAGGCUAGGUAGGACGAGUUACUUCUAUCUGCCCUCAGAUUAUAUAGUGCCAUUAGCAGAUGGAGACUUCAAG